GAUGAACGCUGGCGGCGUGCCUAAUACAUGCAAGUCGAGCGAACGGACGAUAAGCUUGCUUCUCUGAUGUUAGCGGCGGACGGGUGAGUAACACGUGUAUCACCUACCUAUAUUUCUGGGAUAACUUCGUAAAACCGGAUCUAAUACCAUAUAAUAUUUUGAACCGCUGUGUUCAAAAGUUAAUGCCGGUCUUGCUGUCACUUAUAGAUGGAUUCGGGCUGCAUUAUUUAGUUGUUAAGGUAACGGCUUACCAACGCAACGACGCUUGUCCGACGUGAUGGAGGGUUCGCCAACAGUGGAAGUGAGACACGGUCCAGACUCCUACGGGAGGCAGCGGUAGGGAAUGUUCAGAAAGGGGCGAAAGCCUGACGGAGCAGCGCCGCGUGGGUGAUGAAGGUCUUCGGAUCGUAAAACUGUGUUAUGAGAGAAAAAAGUAUGAGUAAGUAACUGUGCACAUCUUGAGGUUACCUAAUCAGAAGGCCCCGGCUAAUUAGUU
rnacentral:rRNA from 1 species